GACGAACGCUGGCGGCGUGCCUAAUACAUGCAAGUAGAACGCAGUUGCGAACGGGUGAGUAACGCGUAGGUAACUGCCUCAUCGCGGGGGAUAACUAUUGGAAACGAUAGCUAAUACCGCCUACUGUGAGAUGGACCUGAGUUGUAUUAGCUAGUUGGUGAGGUAAAGGCUCACCAAGGCGACGAUACAUAGCCGACCUGAGAGGGUUGUCGGCCAAACUGGGACCUGGAAACGGGCCCGACUCCUACGGGAGGGCGCAGUAGGGGAUUUUCGGCAAUGGACGGAAGUCUGACCGAGCAACGGCGCGGGGGUGAAGAAGGGUUUCGGAUCGGAAAGCUCUGUUGUUAGAGAAGCGGUACCUAACCAGAAAGGGACGGCUAACUACGUGCCAGCAGCCGCGGUAAUAC
rnacentral:rRNA from 1 species